UGCCCCAGUACGGCGAGUGAAGCGGCAACAGCUCAAAUUUGAAAUCUGGCUCUCGGGCCCGAGUUGUAAUUUGUAGAGGAUGCUUUUGGUGAGGUGCCUUCCGAGUUCCCUGGAACGGGACGCCAUAGAGGGUGAGAGCCCCGUCUGGUUGGACGCCGAACCUCUGUAAAGCUCCUUCGACGAGUCGAGUAGUUUGGGAAUGCUGCUCUAAAUGGGAGGUAUAUGUCUUCUAAAGCUAAAUACCGGCCAGAGACCGAUAGCGCACAAGUAGAGUGAUCGAAAGAUGAAAAGAACUUUGAAAAGAGAGUUAAACAGUACGUGAAAUUGUUGAAAGGGAAGCGCUUGUGACCAGACUUGGGCUUGGUUGAUCAUCCGGGGUUCUCCCCGGUGCACUCUUCCGGCCCAGGCCAGCAUCAGUUCGCCCUGGGGGACAAAGGCUUCGGGAACGUGGCUCUCUCCGGGGAGUGUUAUAGCCCGUUGCGUAAUACCCUGUGGCGGACUGAGGUUCGCGCAUUCGCAAGGAUGCUGGCGUAAUGGUCAUCAGUGACCCGUCUUGAAACACGGACCAAGGAGUCGUCUUCGUAUGCGAGUGUUCGGGUGUCAAACCCCUACGCGAAAUGAAAGUGAACGCAGGUGAGAGCUUCGGCGCAUCAUCGACCGAUCCUGAUGUUAUCGGAUGGAUUUGAGUAAGAGCAUACGGGGCCGGACCCGAAAGAAGGUGAACUAUGCCUGUGUAGGGUGAAGCCAGAGGAAACUCUGGUGGAGGCUCGCAGCGGUUCUGACGUGCAAAUCGAUCGUCAAACAUGGGCAUG
rnacentral:rRNA from 1 species